UUACUUGUUGCUUGAGCAGCUGGGACUGGCCAACUAGCAUUUUAACAACAGUUUCCUGGAAGAUGUGGAUUCUGUGGCAUCCUUUUCCCAGGGUUCUGGCUGCCCUAGUGGGGGGGAGAGGCAGGGGGAUGUGGGGAAAGUACAUGGCUAGUUCUUCUGCCAUGACUAUCUGGGGCCAGUCAGAGGAGGGGUGUGGCAAUUGAGCAGUUGAAGUGGAAGGUUUUGGAGUUGGAGAGGUUCCUGGACACUCACCAUGGGGAUCCAUCCUGCGGCAGGUAGUGCGGGAUGAAGAGGGGAUCCUGGCUGACCAUUGGACUCAGGAUGCUUUUGUCUGGUCUUAUAUCCAGCUUCUUCAGUAGGUAGACUGCGACACCUGUUUCUAUGCCAUGGCAAAGAAGAGUACCAAAAAGCAGGUCUCCUGCCACUUGGAGGAAGACUUGCACCCCUUUUACAGAUACAGUGGAGAAGCAGAAAAGGGUGGGAACUUACCACUCCAACCUCUUUUCCAUGGUCCAGCUAAUACCCAGGCUGAUGGGGUCCUGUGAGAUGUACUUCCUACAGACACAGUGAGUGACCAGGACUGGCUAGAGCUGAUUCUUUCUCUGGCUGAGUUCUUGGAAACCCUCCAUCUGAUGCCCACCAACAAAUUUCUGGGUGUCAGUGGACUGAACGUGAAGUUCAGCUGUGCAUACUGCAGUGUUCUUGCUCCAGACCUUGCCAUUGUGUGGACCAAGUCCCUGUGGAGUGGGGAGUGCCUCAUGCCGUACCAUGCUUGCCUGCUGUCUAAAAAAAUGGGACCUCCAUGACAUGAAGCAUUGUAGCCCAGUAUGACUACUUAGCUUACACUGUAAGGUCAUAGCUGUGAAGAAUUAGGAGGUUUUUGUUGUAUUAUUUAAUGAACCCUCCGUGCCUCAGUUUCCCCUAUACCUUCUCUUGCUGCCAAAUGGGGGCUAAGGGACAGAGGGAUGUGUGUUCCCUAGCUGAGCCUGCUGGAUAUGCUGUUACAAAGGACAGAACAAGAUUGGCCCGUAUCAAUGGAAAAUCCAAGACCCUAGAAAGCCCAGUCACCAUGACUUUGACACCCAACCACCAAUGAGCCCCCGAGGGAGGAGGAUUUCUCUGCCUCUCAGCCAAUAAGAAUGGACUGGGCUUUAACUUUCAUGUCUCUUUGUCAACCUAAGAAUUUCUGCUGCUAUGUUCUUGGUGACAUAAACUUCCCCCUUUUGAAGACACUGUUGGCAUGUCACUGUA